AAUUAAAUUCCUAAAUUGUAUUAGAGAUAUCAUUUUCCUAUUCUGCAUUAGAGUUGCAAGGAGAAUGCCACAAAAUUUGAGUUGAGUACACCAUGAGUAGUUUUGUUUUUUAAGAGAUUUGAGUAAAUGAUUUGUGAGUGUUUGAGGGUUAGAAAAAUAAUUAGUGGUUGUAAUUAUUUUUCCUUGAUAGUGGAUUUAUUUGGUGGAGUAGGCUUACGCCGA
rnacentral:misc_RNA from 1 species